GUGGCUCAAGACGGAGAGGAUGAACUAGUGCGUGUACUUCUUGAUUUAUUCAUGUUUAAUGCGAAUAUUUGGAAGUUGCACUUAGAAAAACGCCAAGCCGAGCGAUAUAAAGGUUGAAGAGAAUGCAGGUGAAAGAUCUCUAGUUUUGCUGGAAGAUGUAGCCAUAAUUGAACAGUCAAAAUGAUUGUUUCCAGCAGCAACUUGAUGAGGCACAAGGCUCUGUUUUCUUACCACCACUAACAUUAAACUACAGUGCACAAGAGGCUUGUUCAACAUGACUGAGACCAGAAAUAACCAUUU